GGGAGGGUGGCUCUAGGACCCAUACGAGCCUUCCCGAGCAGGAGGUGGGAAUUUUCCUCCAAGGCAGCAGGAGCCCGAGCCCGGUCUCAGAGCUCCAGCGGAGCCCGCAGGAAGAGCCGGGCACGUCCCCUCCACAGCCGCGCAGCCGGGUGGGACCAGCCCGCACCCCGCAGAGCCAUGGACCGGCUGCCACAGCUGCUGCUGUGGGUCACCACAGUGGCUGUUGUCUCCUGCUCUGGGUCACAUGAAGAAAACUCUUCUUCACCAAAUCCAACUCAGAAGCUCUCCCUGAUUAAAAAUAGGAUGGUUUCAUUGCAUCAGCCUUCUAAACCAGGUACCACAAGUCCUCUUCCUU
rnacentral:lncRNA from 1 species